rnacentral:rRNA from 1 species
UACGUAGGGGGCUAGCGUUGUCCGGAUUUAUUGGGCGUAAAGAGCGUGUAGGCGGCCAUACAGGUCAGCUGUGAAAACUCGAGGCUCAACCUCGAGACGUCGGUUGAAACCGUUUGGCUAGAGUCCGGAAGAGGAGAGUGGAAUUCCCGGUGUAGCGGUGAAAUGCGCAGAUAUCGGGAAGAACACCCGUGGCGAAGGCGGCUCACUGGCCCAUUACUGACGCUGAGGCACGAAAGCGUGGGGAGCAAACAGG